GUGGGGAAUUUUGGACAAUGGGCGAAAGCCUGAUCCAGCCAUGCCGCGUGCAGGAUGAAGGCCUUCGGGUUGUAAACUGCUUUUGUACGGAACGAAAAGACUCCUUCUAAUAAAGGGGGUCCAUGACGGUACCGUAAGAAUAAGCACCGGCUAACUACGUGCCAGCAGCCGCGGUAAUACGUAGGGUGCAAGCGUUAAUCGGAAUUACUGGGCGUAAAGCGUGCGCAGGCGGUUAUAUAAGACAGAUGUGAAAUCCCCGGGCUCAACCUGGGAACUGCAUUUGUGACUGUAUAGCUAGAGUACGGCAGAGGGGGAUGGAAUUCCGCGUGUAGCAGUGAAAUGCGUAGAGAUGCGGAGGAACACCGAUGGCGAAGGCAAUCCCCUGGGCCUGUACUGACGCUCAUGCACGAAAGCGUGGGGAGCAAACAGGAUUAGAAACCCGGGUAGUCC
rnacentral:rRNA from 1 species